AGUGAACGCUGGCGGCAGGCCUAACACAUGCAAGUCGAACGGCAGCACAGGGGGUAGCAAUACCCUGGGUGGCGAGUGGCGGACGGGUGAGGAAUACGUCGGAAUCUGCCUAUUUGGUGGGGGAUAACGUAGGGGAAACUUACGCUAAUACCGCAUACGCCCUACGGGGGAAAGCGGAGGACCUUCGGGCUUCGCGCAGAUAGAUGAGCCGACGUCGGAUUAGCUAGUUGGCGGGGUAAAGGCCCACCAAGGCGACGAUCCGUAGCUGGUCUGAGAGGAUGAUCAGCCACACUGGAACUGAGACACGGUCCGGACUCCUACGGGAGGCAGCGAGUGGGGAAUAUUGGACAAGUGGGGCAACCCUGAUCCAGCAAUGCCGCGUGUGUGAAGAAGGCCUGGCGGGUU
rnacentral:rRNA from 1 species